rnacentral:rRNA from 1 species
UACGGAGGGGGCAAGCGUUGUCCGGAAUCAUUGGGCGUAAAGAGCGCGUAGGCGGUCCGGUAAGUCCGCUCUGAAAGUCCGGGGCUCAACCCCGGGAGGCGGGCGGAUACUGUCGGGCUAGAGUCCGGAAGAGGCGAGUGGAAUUCCUGGUGUAGCGGUGAAAUGCGCAGAUAUCAGGAGGAACACCAAUGGCGAAGGCAGCUCGCUGGGACGGUACUGACGCUGAGGCGCGAAAGCGUGGGGAGCAAACAGG